CUGGAGCCCGCUGACCGGUGGCUUAGGGCUCAAAAACCAGAGAAAAACCAGAGAAAAAGAGAACAAGAGGUGGCGAUGGUAUCUACAGACAUGACGGAGGUAUCAGGUCAACCACACGUCCACAGGAACUCCAGGACUCGUGCCUGUGGGGUCCUAGAAGAAUACCAUGUUCCAGCCCUUGUUCCGGGAGAGCAGCCCGACAAGAAGACUGUUCUGCUGGUUGAUGCUAUAUUUCUUUUAUGACGAUUUGCUGCCGGAAUGGUACUGGCACAGUGAUUUGGGGUGACUCUCAUUCACAUCAGACAGAGGAUAAGUUCAGGGCUCUGGCUACCAAUGUUAUACCCCUUGUCUUGAGUCACGUGUAUAGCCUGUGCACUGCCUCUUGUGGAUCUGUGUUUCUACUAUGGUACUUUCUGUAGUCUAAAGCACCCAAGAGAAGUGGGGUGGUAGCAAAAAACUCUUACCGUAUUUUCCAACCACUACAUUCCCUAACUCUGGUACUGAGUGGAGUACGACCCCUUCCACAGGCUCCACAUCAUGUGCCAAGCAAUGGAGGUACCCAUUUCCUCUGAGGGCUUUCCAGACUAUUGGUCCACAAUGUCAACUGGUACUUCAGUCAAUAUCCUUUCUUGCCUCCGAUCAACGCGGUAACAUCGUGCUCUCCCAGACUGGUCCUGGUUGGUUUCCCUAGUACAGCAGGGUGAAGGAAGGUCAUUCUUUGAGUGAACAGAACUGCUCUUCUUGCUGUGCCCACAGUCCCCUACCUAUCUUUACUGAUUACCAUGUGUGGAGGGCAAAGGUAUGGUUAACAAUGAAAGAGAUCACGUUCAAGAAAUGCAGUGAUUAUGGACUAAAGAAUUCAAGAGAAGACAUGGUUGGAAGAUGUGCCAUCCGACAUUUAUGUUACAAAAUCCUAAACAGCACAUUUCACAUGACCAAAACGCAGAUUAUCAAUUACAUUUUUCUGUAUGCUCCGGGGAAGACUUUCACUGAUGGUCAUCAUCAACAAAGCACGGUAACAACCUUUGAAAGAGUCUCUGGGAGUCAGUGUUUGGGAACAGCAUAAUGGAUGGGUGAUGCAGUGUCAUGAGUAAUGUUGGAACCAGACUUAAACGAAUGGUGUUAGGGAACUGCAGAGAUAAGAAGUUCUAUGUUGCUUCAAUCCCAGCAGAUUCUGAAGAGCAAUGGCAUUGUGAAUAGCAAGUACAUUGCUAUCUUUUUCUCAUCAGUAGAAGAUACAAAGUUAGCCUAGAAUGGUGUGCUAGACAAGGAAGAACAUAAAGAGUUGAUUCUGGACCAGAACAGAACUAGGUGGUGCCUGGAAACUAUGAAAAAUCUUCACAUGUCCUGGUUGGAUAAUAACAAAUAUGAGACAGGCAUGCUCCAUGAGACCACAGACAUGCAAGGCCACCAUAUUCCAGGACUCCAUCUUCACCGCUGUUAAGAGUGCUCUUCUGAUGCGUUCAUUUCCUUGGUUGCUGUAACAGAUGACCACCAACUUGGCAGUUCGAAACAGUCCGAUGU